CUGCGGCCCCAACCCCCCCGCCCCCCUCCCUGCGCCCUCACCGGCCAGGGGCUGACCCCGCUGGGAGGCCGGGCUUCAGCCGGGGUUAGGGAGACCCUGCUUCCCGCAGCCCCCUCCCUCCUGGCCGGAGCCCGACGGCUCCCCUCUCCCGGGCAAAGUGGGGGCCGCCUUCCAAGGUGACGGGGCCCCGACGACGCGCGCCCGGCCCGGGCAGGGAGGCCGCCCCCCGCCCCCCGCCCCCCACGGCGGCUCCCCUGCUUGCGGGCGCCGGGCCCUCGGGUGAGGCCGUCUCUGUAGGGGUCGCGGGCGGCGGGGAGGCGGGGGCGGGGUGCGCGGGGAGGCGGCAGGCCCCCCACGCUGGGCUCCCCACGCGCGGCUCCCCACGCUCGGCUCCCCGGCGGCCGCAGCAGGUGGGGGCCCGGGGGCGGGGCCGGCGCGGGGCGGAGCCGGCGGCGGCGGCGGCGGCGGCGGCUGCGGCGAGCGCGGGGCGGGGGCGGGGGCGGGAGCGGAGCCGGAGCCGGAGCCGGAGCCGGGGCGCGGGGCGGGGGGCGGGAGCCGCGAGCCGCGCAGUCCGGACGCCCGCGGGAGCUCGCCGCGCGCCGGGGCCGGGACCUGCCUGGCCGAGCGCGCCGGCGCCGCGACCUCAGACAAAGGCGCCGCCUGCGCCGGGGCCGCCGCGCUCUCGGGCUCCGCUCUGGGGCUGGCCCACCACAGAGCUCUCCGUGGGAGGGGAGCCUGCGGGGUCAGGAGCCGGAGCCCGGUGCCUGGUGAAGAUUCGGGCCCCUUGUUGGAGAAGUAUGAAGAGUCUCAGCACAGCAGAGUGUUGGCCCAAGUCCUGGGGCAGGACCGGGGGCGGCACGGGGCAGACACCCUUGUGCCUGAUGGAAGCUGCUGGAGAAGGAAGGACUGAGCCUGGGGCUUCAAGGCGCUCCCCUGGAAGGUCAGAGGUGAGCAUGAUCCAACUUCUAUUUCUGCGGUCCCUGGGACGCCCCAGCUCUACCCCAAGCUGCGGGGACUCAGCAGUGAGCAUGCAGGAGCUGCUAGGCCCCUGCUUAAAGCUGAGGGCUCCGGAGUCAGACUGUCAGCUCAGAGACUCUGUUUGUUUUUUUAAUUGA
rnacentral:lncRNA from 1 species